rnacentral:lncRNA from 1 species
UUCUAAAAAGGUGAAGGUGGGGCAGUAGAAAAAUAUCUGAAAGGUUGUAGUAAGUGUUAAUUGAGCCAAUGUGUGUAGGUGGCCUAGCCUAGUGCUGAACACUAGGAGGUCUUGAAUUCUAGUCACUUGUCAUUUCGUUUAACAGCUUGCUCCACCUCCUCCUUCUGGCUUCCCCAGCCCCCACUUUACACCCUCCACCAUCAUCUCUCCACCCUCCCUAUAGCAAAGCUGCUCUCCUGCAGAGCUGUCACUUUAUAAAGGAUAUGAUAAAUGCUUCACACCACCGUGAUAAUAGUCUCUUAAAUUUCAAUGGGUUCUACACAUUCUAGAAGACUUUGACUAGAUCUUCAAAACAUUUCUGUGAGGAAGGAAGGGUUCCCUUGUUAAAAAGGAAGAAAUCACUCUUCAGAGGUUGGGUGACCUAUCUAGGGCCACGCAGCUAAUGGAAGGCAGAGGAAGACUAGAAUUCAAGUCAUCUGCUGUCUCCUUCCUAGAAUUACACAAAAGUAGAGACGUUCGAAAUACCAGUCUUAGCGGAAAUGAAGGGCAGUGGCCUAUAUCAGACACCUCUGGCAGCAGGGCUGGACCAGCACCCGACCAGCUGCUGCAUUCUUACACAGCUGGUACUCAGUGGUCACAGUGAAGCCUUGAUGGUGUGACUUUAACUAAAUGAAUAAAGAAGAUGGAGUCACAAGCAAAGUCCAGCACUCAGGACUUGGAAGAAAAAGGAACCUGAAGAGACAAAGACAGAGGCUGGCCCCUGCCCCUCACUUCCCACCUCCCUGCUUUCUGCUGCAAAAGGAAUCUAUGCGGAGUCCCGGGGGCCUGGCAAUAGAGCAAGUGUGUUCUGGAAGGGUAGACCAGCAGAAUGAUGAGUGGCAAGCCGAAUUAAGGGCAGGUCCUGCCAGUCCAGGGAAACAAAUGGGAAAAGUCAGACUGAAGGAAAAGAAGAGUGUUUCUGAAUGGCCCAAUGGACUGGAGCUGACAAACCACGGGAAGUGAUUUAAAAGUGCCUCCAGGUAAAACCAGAGAGAAACUUAACUACUAUCACCAGUUAGCAUAGAAUUUUGACCUUUCAUCUAAAUUAUUUGGAGCAAAUGUACAGGGGAAUUUAAUUUUAGAAAACGGGCAAAGAGAGUCAGAGCUAGACUUCCUCCUCCAACACACACAGCACAGGUGGAGAAGCCCGGGGGGAGCUGAAGUUCCCCAAAUGCUCGGUUGCCAUCACAACGGAAGAGAAUAUAACCUCUUUGUUACCAGGGCAGGCAAUUAUGUGAGUGUUCCUGGAAACCUAAGCCCUUUUGUGAGUUAGAGAUGAUGGAACAAUAACGAAAGAAAGACAAUCCUUUUAUCACCAGAAAAUAAGUGUUAGUUUUCAGACAACACUUCCGCAUCUCGAUGCCUGGGUGAUGUUUUUCAGUGACCAACACAGGACUUAGGAAAAGACGUCGUGUCAUGCUGUUCAAGGUCACUAAGAUCUGGCCUUGCCCCCAGGUGUCAGGGACUAGACUGGAGGAUGGCGUGAGUGUUUACCGCUAGCUACAUUCAAGAUCAGCACUCCAUUUCAUCAGGAAGACUCUCACCCUGGCUAACACGACCCAUUCUCAUUUCUCCCCUCUCCCUCUCCCCUCCCCCUUCUGCCUCUCUCCUCCCUCCCACUCCCCUCCCCCAACACAGUUUUUUCCCAGAUGCUCCAUGGUCCCCCAUGCAAACAGAUUAUUGGCAGGUACAACCCACCAUUCCUUAAGACUCAACUAAAUCCUGAGGCUUAAUGUCUCCCACUUUACUCGCUGAUGAAAGCGUGCACCCAGUUCUGAUGCUCUGACAGCUAUACUGUAUACCUGCACUGACACUAGCCCUCAGCAGUUAUGCAUCUAUAAAAAGAAAGGCUGCCCCAUCCCAUUUUACCCAAGGCCCCUGGCAUCCAGUACCUGAGCCAUUGAAAUUGCUUUGGUUUUGAAUAGAAGUUUGUCAAAAUCUUCAUAAAGGGCUCAUAUGCAAUUCCAUUAUCAAGAGGCAUGUCCAGAAAUGACAAUGGUAAUGAAAAAUAUUGACUAGAGCAGCAAAGCUCAAUUUUUUAGCAGUCAAAAUUACACCUUUUCAUUAAACUGAGGCCCCAGAGAGCAAAAAAAAAAGAUAAUUAAGCAGACUUAUGAUGAAAAGUUACAGAUAACUUCUUCCUGUUCAAGGUAACCAGAAGUGCAGACACUCAGAGAAGGAAGCAUGUUGUGCAGAAGUCUAGGGGAAUGGCCUCCAGGGGCAUUUAAAUUGUCAUCUCUUCCCACAGCAGCUUCUUCCUCCCUAGUCCUCAGAGGCAGUCUCUGAGUCAAUGUCAGUAGCAUGCGACAUCUCUGACCUCCUGGAGAGAUGCAGGGAGCUCAACAGCAACAAAUAGACCCCGUAGAAGAAACUCCAGAAGGCAAUGUCCAGACUCGCACAGCAUACCACUAGCCUUUGCUCAAAAUCCACCAGGGGUUGGCUGUUGCCUACUGUAUCAAGCCCUAACUACUCAGCUUGGCACCCAAGGUCGUCUUCAGACCAGCACAGGCCUGCUUUCCCCAUCUGUGCUCCACUUCUCCCCCUACCCACUCCCAUGCUGGUUAAUCAACUCCUUCCCCACACUGUGCCCCGACCACUUCACCUUUGUUCAUGCUGUGCCCACAAUCACCUUUUCCAACCCUCACUCAUGCCUUGAUUCUCCAUACUCUCAUCACACUGAUGUCUAUAUUUGUUCAAGGUCUGUUACUAUCCUCUCCUUAAUUAGACUGUGCAUUCAUCAAAAAAAGGGAUGGGAAUGUUUACAUUUCUGUAUACCCAUAGUCCCUACCACAAGGCUGGAUUCAUAAUAAGUUUUCAAUAAAUGUCACUGAACAGUUAACUCUCUUCUAGGUAAACAGAGCUGAACGUAAAUGAGCAUAUUUUAUGUCAAAGGUGAAGGGAAAACAAGGGAAAAGAAUUCAUGUUUGAUGAAUUCUAACUAGAAACUACACUGUGCUUCCCACGUUAUCUUAUGAAUUCCUUGCAACGUCUAUGAAAUUGUGCUAUCCCAUUUUACAGAUUAAAAAAAAAAUUCCAGAGACAUUAAGCAACUCUGCCAAGGGUAGGACAAUUUGUAAAUGACAGAGCACAAUUCAUAUUCACCUCAAUCUAACUCCAAAGCAUGUGCUCAUUCCAAGAAUUUUUAUCAUCAUCGUCACCAUAGCCAUUCUCAUCUGCAGUAGCACUGAGCCAUUUAACUACAGAGAGACCUUUAAUGGGUGCUCUCUGCAUCUUUUCAGGCUACAGACCUUAGGUAGACAAUAGAAGACAGGAACCUAUCCGUGACAAGGAAAAAUUUUUACACUUCCCUUGACCACUUUCCAGAAGAGUCCACCAAACAAGCAAGGAGCAUAUGUCCCAAAAGGCCCCCACCCACAUAUUGAUUCUUCUCCCAUCUUUGACCAAUUCACUGACUGGAGCAAUGGUGAAGACUUGGGUCAUCUGAAUACACAAAAAACUCAAAG